rnacentral:rRNA from 1 species
GUGGGGAAUAUUGGACAAUGGGCGAAAGCCUGAUCCAGCCAUGCCGCGUGUGUGAAGAAGGUCUUCGGAUUGUAAAGCACUUUAAGUUGGGAGGAAGGGCAGUAAGUUAAUACCUUGCUGUUUUGACGUUACCAACAGAAUAAGCACCGGCUAACUUCGUGCCAGCAGCCGCGGUAAUACGCAGGGUGCAAGCGUUAAUCGGAAUUACUGGGCGUAAAGCGCGCGUAGGUGGUUUUGUAAGUUGGAGGUGAAAUCCCCGGGCUCAACCUGGGAACGGCCUCCAAAACUGCAUGACUAGAGUACGGUAGAGGGUAGUGGAAUUUCCUGUGUAGCGGUGAAAUGCGUAGAUAUAGGAAGGAACACCAGUGGCGAAGGCGACUACCUGGACUGAUACUGACACUGAGGUGCGAAAGCGUGGGGAGCAAACAGGAUUAGAUACCCCAGUAGUCC